rnacentral:tRNA from 1 species
UCCCUUGUAGCUCAGCUGGCAAAGCAUCCACCUGCAAUGUGGGAGACCUGGGUUUGAUCCCUAGGUUGGGAA